AUAAACGCUGGCGGCGUGCCUAAAACAUGCAAGUCGAGCGGCAGCGCGACCUUCGGGUUGGCGGCGAGCGGCGGACGGCUGAGUAACGCGUAGGAACAUACCCCAAAGUGAGGGAUAACUGCUCGAAAGAGUAGCUAAUACCGCAUGUGCUCUACGGAGUAAAGCUUCGGCGCUUUGGGAAUGGCCUGCGUCUGAUUAGCUAGUUGGUGAGGUAAUAGCUCACCAAGGCGACGAUCGGUAGCUGGUCUGAGAGGAUGAUCAGCCAGACUGGGACUGAGACACGGCCCAGACUCCUACGGGAGGCAGCAGUUAGGAAUUUUCCACAAUGGGCGAAAGCCUGAUGGAGCAACGCCGCGUGCAGGAU
rnacentral:rRNA from 1 species